rnacentral:lncRNA from 1 species
CUUCCCUCUGUAAUAGAGUUUGUCUCCUCCCUUGUGGAGGUUCCUCUCCCAUGUAUGUGGGUUUUUCUUCCUAUUUUACCAUCCUUUUACCUUCCUUUGUACCACCACCACCACCAUCAACCACCACAUUUUCUGAUCAACCACCACCUUCAACCUCCACGUUUUCUGUUCAACCACCACCAUCAACCACCAUCACGUUUUCUGUUCAAUCCUCCAGCAACCGUCAAGCUAUGGUGCUCUCAAAUCUGAACCAAACUUCAACAAACUGUUUACGAAUUUGUGGCCAUGUAGAACGGCCUCCACCGGAGCCACCACCAUCGGAAAAAAUG